rfam:Xenopus tropicalis strain Nigerian Chr03_contig_3058, whole genome shotgun sequence.
GUUUCUGUAGUGUAGUGGUUAUCACGCUCGCCUCACACGCGAAAGGUGCCCCGUUCGAAACCGGGCAGAAACA